CAAAACAACACAGAAUCAUCCUUUAAUAAACAUGUAAAAUGGAAACCAAUUUAUCGAAAAACUUUUUAAAAAAUAAAAUUCGAAAUGUGAAAAACAUUUUGAUGAAAGAGAAUGAAAUGCCCAAAAUCGAGCAGGUUUUCAAAUACGAACUGAAUACCGAAUUUUCCGAAAUAAAUGAUACAUUAGAUUAUCUUAAUGGUAUUAUUUAUAAAAAUUUAAAUAAUUUUAAAAAAUUAAAUUUAUUAUAUUCUUAUGAUGAUAAUAAUGAUUAUGAUACUUCGAAUGUAAAACAAGACACUUUAUUGUUUUUAUUAAAACAAAAAAGUAAAUUUCGAGAGAAGUAUAAAAAUGAAAAUUAUAUUGAUUAUUUAAAAACAAACCCUUUAAUUUUUAUCGAUUGUCUGAAUGAAUUAUUAAUUAUUCCAGGGAUUGGGUUUGAGUUUAAGGUAUAUAAUAGUGAUGAUAAAACUAAUCAUUUUGCUAUAAAAAAAACAGAAAAUAAAAUUAAUAGUUUAUAUAAUCCAUGUUUUAUUGAAUCAAGACAAACAGCUUUUACAAAUGCAAAUGUGAUAAAAUCCACUCGUAAAAAUGAUAAAAGAGUUUAUAAACAGAAUAGUGAUAAUAAGAAUAAUGGAAAACAGAUUGACAAACAAAAUGAGCAACGUAAUAUCGAGCAUUAUUUUUCACGUAAAAAUGCAUCUUUAAAUGUAAAAAAAAAUAACACAAACAAUACUGUUUUGGAAGCAAACAGUAAAGUUGUUUCUACAAACAAAGUAGAUAUUACAAACGAUGGAACAGGUAUUGUUGUAAAGAAUGCAAGUAGUGGAAAUAAUAAUGGCGGAAGUGAUCGACGAAAUAGUAGUAAUAAUCAUGUUGACAAACCAUAUGACAUAGUACACAAAAGUAACAACAAUAAAAAUAUAGAAGAAGGUAGUAGGAAUGUUGCGCAUGUGUGCUCAAGUAAUACAGAAGUAAAAAAAGAAAGAAAAAGAAAAAGCAUUGAUAACAGUUUGGUAACAGGAUAUUGCAAAAAAAACAGAAAGAAUAAAAACAUUGAUGAGGCAACUGAUGAAAAUUGUAAUAGCUCUGUAAAUGACAGUAGUACGAAAAUAAAAUAUCCUAU
rnacentral:lncRNA from 1 species